GACGAACGCUGGCGGCGUGCCUAAUACAUGCAAGUAGAACGCUGAAGGAGGAGCUUGCUCUUCUGGAUGAGUUGCGAACGGGUGAGUAACGCGUAGGUAACCUGCCUGGUAGCGGGGGAUAACUAUUGGAAACGAUAGCUAAUACCGCAUAAGAGUAGAUGUUGCAUGACAUUUACUUAAAAGGUGCAAUUGCAUCACUACCAGCUGGACCUGCGUUGUAUUAGCUAGUUGGUGGGGUAACGGCUUACCAAGGCGACGAUACAUAGCCGACCUGAGAGGGUGAUCGGCCACACUGGGACUGAGACACGGCCCAGACUCCUACGGGAGGCAGCAGUAGGGAAUCUUCGGCAAUGGACGGAAGUCUGACCGAGCAACGCCGCGUGAGUGAAGAAGGUUUUCGGAUCGUAAAGCUCUGUUGUAAGAGAAGAACGAGUGUGAGAGUGGAAAGUUCACACUGUGACGGUAUCUUACCAGAAAGGGACGGCUAACUACGUG
rnacentral:rRNA from 1 species